rnacentral:lncRNA from 1 species
GCUGAGGGGGCAACUGGGAGCACUGGGAGCAACUGGGGGGGCAACUGGGAGCGGCUGGGGGGCAACUGGGAGCACUGGGGGGCAACUGGUCCUUACUGGUCCUUACUGGUUGUUAGUAGGUCUUAUUGGUCCUUACUGGUUGUUAGUAGUUCUUAGUGGUCCUUACUGGUUCUUAUUGGUGUUACUGGUCCUUACUGGUCCUUACUGGUGUUACUGGUCCUUACUGGUCCUUACUGGUGCUACUGGUCCUUACUGGUCCUUACUGGUCCUUACUGGUGUUGCCGGUGCCCGCUUGCAGCGCCGCCAGCAGCAGCCGCCACAACCCGGUGCAGCUGUGGGACGCCUACGACGGCCGCGUCAGGGGCAGCUUCCGGGCCCACAACCACCUGGUGAG